AACAAUAUGGCCUCAUGCCUCAAUAAGGAGAAAUGAGCUUUAAAGACAGUGCAGACGUUCUUCGCCGAGUGUGGUCAGGGUUUCCUGCUUUAACAGUGCUUGGAGGGAACCCGGCGCUUGUCCCCCAUCCCUGCCGGCCGCCUAUAGCCAGCCCUCCGUCACCUCUUCACCGCGCCCUCCGACCGCCCCAAGGCCCCCGCUGCCGCUCCAGCGCCGCCGCCUGUCCUUAGCCUCCGCCAUGACGACCGCGUCCACCUCGCAGGUGCGCCAGAACUACCACCAGGACUCAGAGGCCGCCAUCAACCGCCACAUCAACCUGGAGCUCUACGCUUCCUACGUUUUACUAUUUUGACCGCGAUGAUGUCGCUUUGAAGAACUUUGCCAAAUACUUUCUUCACCACUCUCAUAAGGAAAGGGAACAUGCCGAGAAACUGAUGAAGCUGCAGAACCAACGAGGUGGCCGAAUCUUCCUUCAGGAUAUCAAGAAACCAGACUAUGACGACUGGGAGAGCGGGCUGAAUGCGAUGGAGUGGGCAUUACAUUUGGAAAAAAAUGUGAAUCAGCCACUACUGGAACUACACAAACUGGCCACUGACAAACAUGACCCCCAUUUGUGUGACUUCAUUGAGACACAUUACUUGAAUGAGCAGGUGAAAGCCAUCAAAGAAUUGGGUGACCGUGUGACCAACUUGCGCAAGAUGGGAGCACCGGAAUCCAACUUGGCAGAGUAUCUCUUUGACAAGCACACCCUGGGAGACAGUGAUGAUGAAAGCUAAGCCUCAGGCUAAUUUCCCUGUAGCCAUGGGGUCACUUCACUGGUCACCAAGGCAGUGCAUGCAUGUUGGGGUUUCCUUUACCUUUUCCAUAAGUUGUACCAAAACAUCCACUUAAAUUAUUUGAUUUGUACCAUUCCUUCAAAUAAAGAAAUUUGGUACCCUCCCCCCGAAAAAAAGACAGUGCAUAUUACCAAAUGUUUGCAGUCUCCUAUAACUUUGUUCAUACUUAAGUUUUAUGUCUUUCCUUUUUGUACUUCAUGGCAAAAUUAAUUUUCUAAAGGAUUCAGAGAGGCAUUUAUAUUUUAUAACAUUUAUUAGAAAUAAUUUGUUCCACCACUAGAUUACUGUAUUUCAUUGAAUCUAAGCUGUAUAUAUGUACAUUUGUAUACAUGUAUGUGUAAAUGUAUGCCCGACAUGGGUUCAGAUUCCGGUUUUGUCAUCAGCAAGAGGCCUUGAACCUAUGACUUACUGCCUCUGAGCCUUGGCUUUCUGUGUAUCUUUGCCAUUGGGAUAAUGGUACAUGUAACAGCAGACUGGGUACCAAUUUCUAAAACUCAUGACACCUAGUCUUUGGUCCAUAAAUGGUGUUUGUUAUUUUAGACACUGAGAAAAAGCUUAUUCACAGAAGUUGCAGAUUAUUUCUGCUGGUCACUAUUUUAUUUCUUGAGAGCCGCCACUUAUUUAAUAUUUCUCAUUUAUGAGAAAAUACUUGAUUGAUUUAGAUAAAAGACGAAUUAAUGAAAACCUUUGAAUGUGAGUAGACAAGCUUCAUAUAUCUGUAAAAUGAAUAUUGAAUGGUAGCUUGAGUCAUUUGUGCUUAUCAUGGAGAAGAAUUGAACUCCCAGUCAUACACCUGUAACUGAAAUACCAAACUGUUUUAAUGGAGAUGUAAUGAAGUAAGAUGGUCACAUCUUUAACUAAACUUAUAAAAAU